rnacentral:ncRNA from 1 species
GUGUUGUGUGAAAGGAGAGAAGGCUAGCGCUCCCCUUGACAAGGAUGGAAGAGGCCCUUGGACCUAACAACACACAUACAGUUAAGAUAUAAGCUUGCAAGAAGUAUCUAAGGUAGUCU